rnacentral:rRNA from 1 species
AUUGAACGCUGGCGGCAGGCUUAACACAUGCAAGUCGAACGAGUGGCGGACGGGUGAGUAAUGCUUGUGACUCUAGCUUAUGGAGGGGGAUAACUACGGGGAACUGUAGCUAAUACCGCGUACCAUAGGAUGAGCCCAAGUGGGGUUAGGUAGUUGGGGAGGUAAAGGCUCACCAAGCCGACGAUCUCUAGCGGGUCUGAGAGGAUGACUAUACACACGGGAACUGAGACACGGCUCAGAAUCCUACGGGAGGCAGCAGUGGGGAAGAUUGCGCAAUGGGCGCAACCUGAUGCAGCCAUGCCGCGUGAAUGAAGAAGGUCUUCGGGUUGUAAAGUUCUUUCGGUUGCGAGGCGUUAACUACAGAAGAAGCACCGGCUAACUCCGUGCCAGCAGCCGCGGUAAUUC